GCCGCUAUGGUGAAAUUGGUAGACAUUCUGCUCUUAAGAAGCAGUGCUCGGUUCGAAUCCGAGUGACGACA
rnacentral:tRNA from 1 species